rnacentral:lncRNA from 1 species
UGCCUUGUCUCUAUGAGCAGGUACACUUCAAGCAAAAUAUGAAGGAGUUUUACAACUCCUAGACUCCACCAAGUGAAGAACCUAGAUCUACGAGCACAAACACACUGGAGAUACUGGACACUAAGGCAAUCACUGCCCUGAGAUGCUUAAGGACGUUACUACUGGAGUAACCUCGUUGUGGAAGUAAUUACUGACCUUCUGCCAGUCAAGAGAGACAAUCUAGGACGCCCCAUCAUCCCGAUCUCCAUCGGCAUGCUUGCAGAUCGUACGCUAAGUUUCCCAAAGAGAAUAUUGAAGAACCUCUACGUCUGAGUUGGUACCUUAUACGCUCCAGCAGACUUCGUGGUGAUAGAGACUGAUACUGAUGAGAGGGCACCCAUCAUCUUAGGGAGGCCAUUUCUAAACACCUCAGGAGCUAUCAUCUACGCUAGUGCUGCCAAGAUCAGUUUCUACAUCAAGGGGAGGAAGGAGAUGUUUUCCUUCAAGAACAAGACACACAAAUCUCAGAGCAAUCCUGACAUGAACCAAGGAAUAGGACCAACAGGAGGAACAGAAACAAGCAAAUGUGGACCGAGUCAGCUAAAAUGGUCACUGCAAUUCAAGGAGGUCAAGACCAUCAACUCAAGUCGCCUUUCUUGAUCAAGAAGGAUGACCCUGGUGUUCCAAGCAUCGAGUGCACAAUCAACGGAUAUUCCUUUCAGAAGACACUCUACGACACUGGAUCUGACGUCAACAUAAUGGUCGCAGUCACCUAUCAACUCCUGUUCGGAACCAUGCCCCUAAAACCGACAUACAUUCAACUCCAGAUGGCAGAUCAGACAUUCCGAAAGGUUAUUGACAUGAGAGAAGACGAGUACAAUCCACCCAUCAUCCUUGGAAGACCGUUCCUCAGCACUGUUAAAGCAAUCAUCUACAUUGGAACCGGAGAAGUCCACAUGCAUUUCCCCUCUGAUAAGGUACGCCCCUAUUUUACUGACCCUAACUAUAUAGUUGAAGACUUUAAGCAAGUCAGGACAAGAAGAAGACGACACAACCGUAACCAGAGGAGGCAAAUCAUUAAGGACGGAUGGGCAGACUAUGAAGGAGAAGUCGUAAGGUCUGAAGACAUACAGCUUGAACAGAACUGUCCUGAGGAGACCGUAGCACCGAGUCAGGUGUGCAGAAAGAAGAUAGUUAUACACAAAGAGCAGGCUCUGCCGGAACCACCGACUAUGCCAUUCAGCAAAUCCCAGGACGACUGAGAAAACGGAGGGUCCCGUUCGGAGGACUUAAAAACACUGAACGCCUUGCCAAGAGGUAAACUUGGUAGUUAUCUUUUUCCUUUCAAUUAUUUUAAAAUAGUUUGCUUAGUUAAUCAGGUUCACAUCAUCUUGAAAAGAAAAUAAAAAUAUUAAGCCCCAUGUGGUUAUGCUCAUGGCAUAAAACCCAUAAGUACAUUCACUGUGGUGGCGUAAAAAUAAAAUAACUAUAUUCCUAUCCUAUAAAAAUAAAAUUAUAAAAAUAGAUUUAUGAUCCCACUAAAAAGAGUAAUAUUUAUUGAGGAGACUCAACAUGAUAAAGGCUAGAUAUUUAUGCUAACACUUAACUAGUUCCACAAGCUUUGUUGUCUAUUUGAGCUCCACAAAAUUCAAGGAUCAAAGAAGACUAGCAGACGGAGGACAUCCUAGUCGCCGUCACGGUGCUGCUGACAUUCAAAUAUACCUUCGCCAUCUGCUAGCUACAUCAGAAGGAAUUACGUCAAAAUCCAGCUUGGGGGAGAGCACCUCCAUUUAUCCAGCUAAGUAUUCUACUCACGUUUAUAUUUUACUCAAAUAAUAAAAAGAUGCAUAAUCGUAAAAACCCAAAUAAAGAUUUUGUGCUUAUAUAUAUAUCUUUGCUUAGUUUGCUAAAUAAAUAAAUAAAUAAAAUUUGCUAUGAACCCUCAUGAUGAGCUCUCACAUGGAAAGAUGAAUAGUUGCUCUGCCAUGACUAGUUCUCAAAAUUGAAAUCUCUCUCAAGUUUAGGCAUCACUGUUAUUAAUUAAGAUUUGCUCUAAACCUGAACUUGUGGGAAGAGUACUUGAUCUGAAGUCUAAGUCGUUAACGGAUAUGAUAUGGGAAGGUUGAGCUGCUGUUUAUCUGUUCCUAGAGAUGCUAGAAUUCUGGAGAAUUUUAUCUUUGAAAAUCUUUAAAAUAUCACAUGAUGAGUUCCUGUAUGAUGAGAGUUUAAAUUCCUACCACAGCCAUAUAUACAUGCUUGCUAGACUAUGAGCCACACAUUUACUUUUUACUGCUUAUGAGCAUUGAGUGUGGUCAAGCUUUGUAGACCCUUAGGAGCUUGUCAUGUGGUUAAGUCAAGAUUCACUUGCACGUUCACUCAUACAUGCUACUUCUACCCUGGAAGUACCAUCCACAUAUACCCAUUCCCAUCUCCAGAACCACCCAAAAAUAUUCUACUCCUAAUCCGGGAGAGAAUAGCCAAAAAUAUUUCUAUUUUUUCCCUAUGAAAUAAAUGCUCAAGUUAUCUUGUCACUACCACUUGCUAUAUUAUCUCAUGAGAUGAGUGCUCUAAAGAAAAAAGAGAAAAAAAAAGAAGAAUACGAGGAAAUAAAAAGGGGCAAUUGCCCGGAACCUCGAAAGAAAAAAAAAGAAAAAUAAGUGAGACGAGAGGUAAAAAUGGACAAGUGUCCGACAGUAGAAUUAGGGGUACAAGAUACCCACCUGAGAGAAAAGAAAAAAAGAAAAAGAAAGAAAAAAGAAAAUAUAGAGCAUCUCAUUCUCCUCAAAAAGUUUCAAAAGAGCAAGAAAGGUAUGUAUCCCCUCAAAAGAGCAUAAGUAGAAUUAGACUUUCACCAUUGUUAUCACCAUCAUCACCAUACACCAUUCAUUCGCCACACAUGCACAUCUUGAUUUGACUUAUUGACUUGUUCUUCUGGAUCCAUGGUUUGACUAUGCAAUAUAUGUCUUGUAAGUAUGUAUUAGCUGUCUCCCACCUAUGAGCUCCAGAUAUCAAAACCUUAUUAGAGUAGGGUGAGAGAGAAGGCAAUGUCACUAUGCCUUAUACCACAAAUACCACAUACUUUGAGAGAAGGCAUAUACCAUUACUGCCUUGGUAAGGAUCCAGAAAUACCACAAAAGAGAGAGUAGAGAGAGUCAUACAAGGAAUCUCUGAGUUUUAUUUGAAAAUCUGCAAAAACUCCAGAGCUAUAGUUAAUCGAAAAACAAGAGACAUGGUGCUUGACUAGACUGUUCUAUCUUUUAACUACUAAAGACAGAAGUGAUGGUUACAAGUCCCAUGGUGAAAGGUAAAUGAGUAAGUUUUAAGUCUUAACAGUUUACUCUAACCAGAGAUGAGAUCUUGUUUAAACACAUGUGUAUCUUUAAGUUAUGAAACCACUGCAGAAACUCUUGAGUCCAUCUUUGCUUAGGGACGAGCAAAGGUUAAGCUUGGGGGAGCUUGUUGACGGUCCUUAAUGCUCACAUUUAACCAUAAACUAAUCAUGGAAAAGGAUCCAAAUGCAACCAACACCUAGACUUAGGGUUUUAUCUGACAGAAUUCCACGAGUUUUGGUGUUUGUCUAUUUCUGCAGGGGGUUAUCAGGAAAUACGGAAGAAAGGCCCACACAUCGGGUUUACAUAGAGAUAUUAACGUGCCGCGUAAUUUUCUAUCAUCUAGAAGACUCCAGAAGCCACGGGACCGAACGGAAGACGUAACGGAGCCGGGCACUGGGCGCCCGCCCUCCCCCCUGGACCAAUCAGGGCGAAGUUCGGGGAUCAUGCUCCACCGACCUAAUACUUCAAGGAAAACCACACGAUCAAUGUCGGUUUGAUCCGACGGCCCAGAUUCACUUGAAGGGACUAUAAAACCAGACCCCCCUAGCCCCUGGAGAUCGUACCUCUUCUACAGAAUCAAAGCUAGGGUUUCAAUUCUUCAUCCAAGUAGAGAGGAUCCCUCUAGUUCUUCUAGUUCUACCUCUAGUUCAUCUAGAUCUAGUUCUAGUUCAUCUAGUUCUAGUUCUAGUUUCUCUAGUUCUAGUUCUAGUUAGUUCUAGUUGUAAUCUAGAAAAUAGGCAGAGAGAAGAGGAGAGCAGAGGAGGAGCCGGAUCUGUCGGAUCUUCCUCAACAUUAUACUUUUGCAGCAUCUGGUUCGUUCUUCAUCGUUCUCCAGGUUCUUCAAUUCAUAAUUCCUGAGUUCUUUAAUUACUUUUAAGUUAUUUAUUGGAUUCCCGCUUGCAUCAAGUGCUCUAGUCUUUAUAACGCUAGAGUAGUAAUUAAUAGAUUAGACGUGGUGUUUAGUCUUGCGAUUACCUGGAAUUGCACCCAAUCCCACGGAUUGUUGUGGUAGCCCUAGGGUAGUGACAGCCCUAACGGUCGACGUAUUCGACCACGUUCGGAUCGGUGUUUGUAGGACCGUAGUCAGACCUUCCUAGCCCCCUUCUCAUCUCUUUCUGUGGUUAGUGCUCUGAUGUCCCGAUAUAAAUAAUCUUUGAAGUAAUUCUUGAUUCUUAGAUCAACUAGAGAACUCUCAGGAAACUUCCUCUGUUCCCACCAAAAAUAAUCAUAUAGUUAUCCUUGGGCGAUCUUGGAUCUUAAUUAGUACACUCACGUUCCCUGUGGAAAAUCGAUACUCUGGAAUACUCCCGGGUGAAAGCUACAUCGGUAUCCGUGCGCUUGCGGAUUUUUCUGUUUGCGUUUAAAAUACCCAACAAGCUUUCUGGCGCCGUUGCCGGGGAACGGUAGCUGUACUAGUUUCGAACAAAGUCGUCCGUGUAUCCUUUUUCUUUUCCUUUUUCACCACACUCACCUUAUCAUUUUCACCAUACCACAUGGAUUUCACUCUAAGCAUUAAUGAGCAUGGAAUUUAUUUCAUAGCCACUUCAUUUACUCCAUGCUCAUAUGCAACAUCUUCACAAUCCAUUGGUUUUUCCAACACCACCACAUUCGAGAUCUCCAACCCCCUCAUCCUUUCUAUUUAUAAAAACUUUAAAAGGGCGGUUGUCGAUGCAUAUGUCUAUAAUAAAUUUUGCAGAUCUCAUUGAGUUGAUCUUGAUAUAGGUCAGCGUGGGAGGGGAAACCACUUCGCCGACAUAAAUUGAUGGUUUCCCAAGGACAAGCUUAGUGUCCUAAAAUAAGCACUGAUCAGACCGUAACAUGAGCUUUUAAUUAUUUGCAACAUUACCUUGUGUGUUGCGCAUAUAAGAAUAAUUGUAAAAAUAUUCCUUUGGAUAUUCUUGUCACUAACCUUUCUAGGAUUGGAGCAAGAAGAUCGGAUGAAUGACAAGCACAAGGUAUGUCCAACCAAUCAUCAUACAACAUUGAAUUAAAUUCAUCCAAACUUGAAUUUUGCAAAAUUCAAGCUUGGGGGAGACUUUACAUGAAACAUCCUUUGCCAUGUUGCUAUGUUGGUUGUCCCUACCUUUGAGACAUGCUCAAUUUGUUAAAUACUAAUCACACUACUUCAUCUCCACUUGAGUAGAACUCUAUAAAUGCUCUCAUGCUACCUUUAUUUGCUUUAGUAUAUGUCUAGGUUUGGAGUCGUUUCAUUUAUCUCUUAAUUAAGCAUGGUGCUUAGUUUAGGGCUGAUGAUCUUAUUUCCGAGGGAGUUUAAAUUAAGCAUGAUGCUUAGGUUAAAAUGCCCUCCUAAAUCAAAUUAGACAUGGUGUCUAGGUUGAUCUUUGAGCCGAUAGUAUGCUAUAGUAAACAUUGGAUAUUUUGUUGGACUAACCCCUGCAGGAAAACUUUCAAUAUCGACCUGGGAAGUCCUGAGACAAACUCACAUUGGAGAUAAAGAGAGAGGCACAUGAAGUUUAACAAUUUACACAAGGAAGGCAUAGGUCACAAGAGAUGAUCCCUGGAGGGUGCCACAAACACGAUGCACAACCGCUAAGAGAGGAAAGCUUCCACAAGGUGAUACUGUACCAUCACUCUUCAAGUAAGGUAACAUCUUAAUGUACUUGACUAUCACUUUUAUAAGCUUCUCCUUAUUUCUGGCAUUCACAUGAAUAAAAGAGACAAACAUGUAUGAUCUACAACUCUAGAUUAACCAAACCAAUCGAUUCAAUAUGUUUAGUCCUUCCACCGUUGUGAUCCCACACUCCUAAUCAUAUGAGCUAAAAUGUUGCACAUGCAAUCUUUGGAAGAUAUAUAUAAAAAAACAACAUAAGUAUAGAUAGAUUAUCUUUCCAUUAGGUUGAGUGAUCUGAUCUGACAAAUGUUUUAAAUGUUACACUCAUGGUCUUAUUAUCCAUCAACUUUGUCUUGCUCACUAUGCUUAAGGUUUGAGAGAACAAAUACACUUUUGGUUUUGUUGGUAUUUUCCACCAACAGGGCCCAUACACUUGAUCUCUGCCUUGUCUCUAUGAGCAGGUACACUUCAAGCAAAAUAUGAAGGAGUUUUACAACUCCUAGACUCCACCAAGUGAAGAACCUAGAUCUACGAGCACAAACACACUGGAGAUACUGGACACUCAGGCAAUCACUGCCCUGAGAUGCUUAAGGACGCUACUACUGGAGUAACCCCGUUGUGGAUGUAAUUACUGACCUUCUGCCGGUCAAGAGAGACAAUCUAGGAUGCCCCAUCAUCCCGAUCUCCAUCGGCAUGCUUGCAGAUCGUACGCUAAGUUUCCCAAAGAGAAUAUUGAAGAACCUCUACGUCUGAGUUGGUACCUUAUACGCUCCAGCAGACUUCGUGGUGAUAGAGACUGAUACUGAUGAGAGGGCACCCAUCAUCUUAGGGAGGCCAUUCCUAAACACCUCAGGACCUGUCAUCUACGCUAGUGCUGCCAAGAUCAGUUUCUACAUCACGGGGAGGAAGGAGAUGUUUUCCUUCAAGAACAAGACACACAAAUCUCAGAGCAAUCCUGACAUGAACCAAGGAAGAGGACCAACACGAGGAACAGAAACAAGCAAAUGUGGACCGAGUCAGCUAAGAUGGUCACUGCAAUUCAAGGAGGUCAAGACCAUCAACUCAAGUCGCCUUUCUUGAUCAAGAAGGAUGACCCUGGUGUUCCAAGCAUCGAGUGCACAAUCAACGGAUAUUCUUUUCAGAAGACACUCUACGACACUGGAUCUGACGUCAACAUAAUGGUCGCAGUCACCUAUCAACUCCUGUUCGGAACCAUGCCCCUAAAACCGACAUACAUUCAACUCCAGAUGGCAGAUCAGACAUUCCGAAAGGUUAUUGACAUGAGAGAAGACGAGUACAAUCCACCCAUCAUCCUUGGAAGACCGUUCCUCAGCACUGUUAAAGCAAUCAUCUACAUUGGAACCGGAGAAGUCCACAUGCAUUUCCCCUCUGAUAAGGUACGCCACUAUUUUACUGACCCUAACUAUAUAGUUGAAAACUCUAAGUAGGUCAGGACAAGAAGAAGACGACACAACCGUAACCAGAGGAGGCAAAUCAUCAAGGACGGAUGGGCAGACUAUGAAGGAGAAGUCGUAAGGUCUGAAGACAUACAGCUUGAACAGAACUGUCCUGAGGAGACCGUAGCACCGAGUCAGGUGUGCAGAAAGAAGAUAGUUAUACACAAAGAGCAGGCUCUGCCGGAACCACCGACUAUGCCAUUCAGCAAAUCCCAGGACGACUGAGAAAACGGAGGGUCCCGUUCGGAGGACUUAAAAACACCGAACGCCUUGCCAAGCGGUAAACUUGGUAGUUAUCUUUUUCCUUUCAAUUAUUUUAAAAUAGUUUGCUUAGUUAAUCAGGUUCACAUCAUCUUGAAAAGAAAAUAAAAAUAGUAAGCCCCAUGUGGUUAUGCUCAUGGCAUAAAACCCAUAAGUACAUUCACUGUGGUGGCGUAAAAAUAAAAUAAAUAUAUUCCUGUCCUAUAAAAAUAAAAUUAUAAAAAUAGAUUUAUGAUCCCACUAAAAAGAGUAAUAUUUAUUGAGGAGACUCAACAUGAUAAAGGCUAGAUAUUUAUGCUAACACUUAACUAGUUCCACAAGCUUUGUUGUCUAUUUGAGCUCCACAGAAUUCAAGGAUCAAAGAAGACUAGCAGACGGAGGACAUCCUAGUCGCCGUCAGGGUGCUGCUGACAUUCAAAUAUACCUUCGCCACCUGCUAGCUACAUCAGAAGGAAUUACGUCAAAAUCCAGCUUGGGGGAGAGCACCUCCAUUUAUCCAGCUAAGUAUUCUACUCACGUUUAUAUUUUACUCAAAUAAUAAAAAGAUGCAUAAUCGUAAAAACCCAAAUAAAGAUUUUUUGCUUAUAUAUAUAUCUUUGCUUAGUCUGCUAAAUAAAUAAAUAAAUAAAAUUUGCUAUGAACCCUCAUGAUAAGCUCUCACAUGGAAAGAUGAAUAGUUGCUCUGCCAUGACUAGUUCUCAAAAUUGAAAUCUCUCUCAAGUUUAGGCAUCACUGUUAUUAAUUAAGAUUUGCUCUAAACCUGAACUUGUGGGAAGAGUACUUGAUCUGAAGUCUAAGUCAUUAACGGAUAUGAUAUGGGAAGGUUAAGCUGUUGUUUAUCUGUUCCUAGAGAUGCUAGAAUUCUGGAGAAUUUUAUCUUUGAAAAUCUUUAAAAUAUCACAUGAUGAGUUCCUGUAUGAUGAGAGUUUAAAUUCCUACCACAGCCAUAUAUACAUGCUUGCUAGACUAUGAGCCACACAUUUACUUUUUACUGCUUAUGAGCAUUGAGUGUGGUCAAGCUUUGUAGACCCUUAGGAGCUUGUCAUGUGGUUAAGUCAAGAUUCACUUGCACGUUCACUCAUACAUGCUACUUCUACUCUGGAAGUACCAUCCACAUAUACCCAUUUCCAUCUCCAGAACCACCCAAAAAUAUUCUACUCCUAAUCCGGGAGAGAAUAGCCAAAAAUAUUUCUAUUUUUUCCCUGUGAAAUAAAUGCUCAAGUUAUCUUGUCACUACCACUUGCUAUAUUAUCUCAUGAGAUGAGUGCUCUAAAGAAAAAAGAUAAAAAAAGAAGAAUACGAGGAAAUAAAAAGGGGCAAUUGCCCGGAACCUCGAAAGAAAAAAAAGAAGAAAAAGUGAGACGAGAGGUAAAAAUGGACAAGUGUCCGACAGUAGAAUUAGGGGUACAAGAUACCCACCUGAGAGAAAAGAGAAAAAGAAAUAUAGAGCAUCUUAUUCUCCUCAAAAAGUUUCAAAAGAGCAAGAAAGGUAUGUAUCCCCUCAAAAGAGCAUAAGUAGAAUUAGACUUUCACCAUUGUUAUCACCAUCAUCACCAUACACCAUUCAUUCGCCACACAUGCACAUCUUGAUUUGACUUAUUGACUUGUUCUUCUGGAUCUAUGGUUUGACUAUGCAAUAUAUGUCUUGUAAGUAUGUAUUAGCUGUCUCCCACCUAUGAGCUCCAGGUAUCAAAACCUUAUUAGAGUAGGGUGAGAGAGAAGGCAAUGUCACUAUACCUUAUACCACAAAUACCACAUACUUUGAGAGAAGGCAUAUACCAUUACUGCCUUGGUAAGGAUCUAGAAAUACCACAAAAGAGAGACUAGAGAGAGUCAUACAAGGAAUCUCUGAGUUUUAUUUGAAAAUCUGCAAAAACUCCAGAGCUAUAGUUAAUCGAAGAACAAGAGACAUGGUGCUUGACUAGACUGUUCUAUCUUUUAACUACUCAAGACAGAAGUGAUGGUUACAAGUCCCAUGGUGAAAGGUAAAUGAGUAAGUUUUAAGUCUUAACAGUUUACUCUAACCAGAGAUGAGAUCUUGUUUAAACGCAUGUGUAUCUUUAAGUUAUGAAACCACUGCAGAAACUCUUGAGUCCAUCUUUGCUCAGGGACGAGCAAAGGUUAAGCUUGGGGGAGCUUGUUGACGGUCCUUAAUGCUCACAUUUAACCAUCAACUAAUCAUGGAAAAGGAUCCAAAUGCAACCAACACCUAGACUUAGGGUUUUAUCUGACAGAAUUCCACGAGUUUUGGUGUUUGUCUAUUUCUGCAGGGGGUUAUCAGGAAAUACGGAAGAAAGGCCCACACGUCGGGUUUACAUAGAGAUAUUAACGUGCCGCGCAAUUUUCUAUCAUCUAGAAGACUCCAGAAGCCACGGGACCGAACGGGAGACGUAACGGAGCCGGGCACUGGGCGCCCGCCCUCCCCCCUGGACCAAUCAGGGCGAAGUUCGGGGAUCAUGCUCCACCGACCUAAUACUUCAAGGAAAACCACACGAUCAAUGUCGAUUUGAUCCGACGGCCCAGAUUCACUUGAAGGGACUAUAAAACCAGACCCCCCUGGCCCCUGGAGAUCAUACCUCUUCUACAGAAUCAAAGCUAGGGUUUCAAUUCUUCAUCCAAGUAGAGAGGAUCCCUCUAGUUCUUCUAGUUCUACCUCUAGUUCAUCUAGAUCUAGUUCUAGUUCAUCUAGUUCUAGUUCUAGUUCCUCUAGUUCUAGUUCUAGUUAGUUCUAGUUGUAAUCUAGAAAAUAGGGAGAGAGAAGAGGAGAGCAGAGGAGGAGCCGGAUCUGUCGGAUCUUCCUCAACAUUAUACUUUUGCAGCAUCUGGUUCGUUCUUCAUCGUUCUCCAGGUUCUUCAAUUCAUAAUUCCUGAGUUCUUUAAUUACUUUUAAGUUAUUUAUUGGAUUCCCGCUUGCAUCAAGUGCUCUAGUCUUUAUAACGCUAGAGUCGUAAUUAAUAGAUUAGACGUGGUGUUUAGUCUUGCGAUUACCUGGAAUUGCACCCAAUCCCACGGAUUGUUGUGGUAGCCCUAGGGUAGUGACAGCCCUAACGGUCGAUGUAUUCCACCACGUUCGGAUCGGUGUUUGUAGGACCGUAGUCAGACCUUCCUAGCCCCCUUCUCAUCUCUUUCUGUGGUUAGUGCUCUGAUGUCCCGAUAUAAAUAAUCUUUGAAGUAAUUCUUGAUUCUUAGAUCAACUAGAGAACUCUCAGGAAACUUCCUCUCUUCCCACCAAAAAUAAUCAUAUAGUUAUCCUUGGGCGAUCUUGGAUCUUAAUUAGUACACUCACGUUCCCUGUGGAAAAUCGAUACUCUGAAAUACUCCCGGGUGAAAGCUACAUCGGUAUCCGUGCGCUUGCGGAUUUUUCUGUUUGCGUUUAAAAUACCCAACAGUAGAUCUCUAUAAAUGCUCUCAUACCACCUUUAUUUGCUUUAGUAUAUGUCUAGGUUUGGAGUAGUUUCAUUUAUCUCUUAAUUAAGCUUGGUGCUUAGUUUAGGAAUGAUGAUCUUACUUCCAAGGGGUUUUAAAUUAAGCAUGGUGCUUAGGUUAAAAUGCCCUCCUGAAUCAAACUAGACAUGGUGUCUAGGUUGAUUUUUGAGCCGAUAGUAUGCUAUAGUAGAUAUGGGAUAUUUUGUUGGACUAACCCCUGUAGGAAAACUUUCAAUAUCGACCUGGGAAGUUCUGAGAUAAACUCAUAUUGGAGACAAAGGGAGAGACACAUGAAGUUUAACAAUUUACACAAGGAAGGCAUAGCUCACAAGAGAUGAUCUAUGGAGGGUGCCACAAACAUGAUGCACAACCGCUAAGAAAGGAAAGCUUCCACAAGGUGAUAUUGUACCAUCACUCUUCAAGUAAGGUAACAUCUUAAGGUACUUGACUAUCACUUUUAUAAAGCUUUUCCUUAGUUCUGGCAUUCACAUGAAUAAAAGAGACAAACAUGUAUGAUUUAUAACUCUAGAUUAACCAACCCAAUCGAUUCAACAUGUUUAGUCCUUCCACCAUUGUGAUCGCACACUCCUAAUCAUAUGAGCUAAAAUGUUGCACACUCAAUCUUUGGAAGAUAUAUUAAAAAAAACAUAAGUAUAGAAAGAUUAUCUUUCCAUUAGGUUCAGCGAUCUGAUAUGACAAAUGCUUUAAAUGCUACACUCAUGAUCUGAUUAUCCAUCAACUUUGUCUUGCUCACUAUGCUUAAGGUUAGAGAAGAACAAAUACACUUUUGGUUCUGUUGGUGUUUUCCACCAACAGAGCCCAUGCACUUGAUCUCUUCCUUGUCUCUAUGAGCAGGUACACUUCAAGCAAAAUAUGAAGGAGUUUUACAACUCCCAGACUCCACCAAGUGAAGAAACCUAGAUCUACGAGUACACACACUGGAGAUACUGGACACUCAGGCAAUCAUUGCCCUAAGAUUCUUGAGGAUGUAAACUACAUCAACAACAUCAACUACUACUACUACUACAACCAUCCUCAACAAAAUCAAGGUUGGAAUCAACAGAGGCCUAACUACUCAGUCAAGAGAGGCGAUCCAGGACGCCCCGUCAUCCCGAUCUCCAUCGGCAUGGUGGACUUCCCAGAAGCACUCUGCGACUUUGGCUCCAGCGUCAACAUUAUGCCCAGGGUACUCUAUGAAAAAUUCUUUACACAUCCUUUACUAGAAACAACCAUGUGUUUGCAGCUUGCAGACCAGACACUAAGUUUCCCAAAGGGAAUAUUGAAGAACCUCUGCGUCUGAGUUGGUACCUUGUACGCCCCAGCAGACUUCAUGGUGAUAGAGACUGGUACUGAUGAGAGGGCACACAUCAUCAUAGGGAGGCCAUUCCUGAACACCUCAGGAGCUGUCUACGCUAGUGCUGCCAAGAUCAGUUUCUACAUCAAGGGGAGGAAGGAGACGUUUUCCUUCAAGAAUAAGACUACACAAAUCUCAGAGCAAUCCCGACAUGAACCAAGGAAGAGGACCAACAGGAGGAACAGGAACAAGCAAAUGUGGACCAAGUCAGCUAAGAUGGUCACUGUAGUUCAAGGAGAUCAAGAUCGUCGACUUAAGUUACCAUUCCCGACGAAAAAAAAGAGACGACCCAAGUAUGCCAAGCAUCCAGUGCUCCAUUAAUGGAUACAACUUCCAGAAGAUGCUUUGCGACACCAGGUUAUUGAUAGGGGAGAAGACGUGUACGAUCCACCUAUCAUCCUUGAGAGCCGUUCCUCACCACCGUUAAAGCAAUCAUCUACAUUGGAACCGAAGAAGUCCAUGAGCACUUCCCCUCUGAGAAGGUACGCCGCUAUUUUACUGACCCUAACUAUAUAGUUGAAGACUCUAAGCAGGUCAGGACAAGAAGAAGACGACGCAACCGCAACUAGAGGAGGCAAAUCAUCAAGGACAGAUGAGCAGACUACGAAGGAGAAGUGGUAAGGUCUGAAGACAUACAUCUUGAACAGAACUGUCCUGAGGAGACCGUAGCACCGAGUCAGGCGUGGAGAAAGAAGAUAGUUAUACACGAAGAGGAGGCACCGUCGGAACCACCGACUACGCCAUCUAGCGAAUCCCAAGACGAGCGAAUCUCAGGAUUACUAAGGAAACGGAGAGUCCUGUUCGGAGGAUUUAAAAACACCGAACGCCUUGCCAAGAGGUAAACUUGGUAGUUAUCUUUUUCCUUUUAAUUAUUUAAAAUAGUUUUCUUAGUUAAUCAGGUUCAUAUCAUCUUGAAAAGAAAAUAAAAAUUUUAAAAAUAAUAAGCCCCAUGUGAGUAUGCUCAUGGCAUAAAACCCAUAAGUACAUUCACUGUGGUGGCAUAAAAAUAAAAUAAAUAUAUUCCUGUCCUAUAAAAAUGAAAAUAUAAAAAUAGAUUUAUGAUCCUACUAGAGAGAGUAACAUUUAUUGAGGAGGCUCAACAUGAUAAAGGCUAGAUAUUUAUGCUAACACUUAACUAGUUCCACAAAGCUUUGUUGUCUAUUUGAGCUCUGCAGAAUUCAAGGAUCAAAGAAGACUAGCAGACGGAGGACAUCCUAAUCGCUGUCAGGGUGCUGCCGACAUUCAAAUACACCUCCGCCACCGGCUAGCUUGGGGGAGAGCAUCCCCAUUUAUCCAGCUAAGUGUUCUACUCAUGUUUAUACUUUACUCUAAUAAUAAAAAGAUGCAUAAUCAUAUAAACCCAAAUAAAGAUUUUGUGCUUAUAUAUAUAUAUAUAUAUAUAUAUAUAUAUAUAUAUAUAUAUAUAUAUAUAUAUAUAUAUAUAUAUAUAUAUAUAUAUAUAUAUAUCUAUGUAUANNNNNNNNNNNNNNNNNNNNNNNNNNNNNNNNNNNNNNNNNNNNNNNNNNNNNNNNNNNNNNNNNNNNNNNNNNNNNNNNNNNNNNNNNNNNNNNNNNNNUAUAUAUAUCUUUGCUUAGUUUUCUAAAUAAAUAAAUAAAUAAAGUUUGCUAUGAACCCUCAUGAUAAGGUCUCACAUGGAAAUGAUGAAUAGUUGCUCUACCAUGACUACUUCUCAAAAUUGAAAUCUCUCUCAAUUUAGGAAUGACUGUUAUUAAUUAUGAUUUGCUCUAAACCUGAACUUGUGGGAAGAGUACUUGAUCUAAAGUAUAUGUCGUUAACGGAUACGAUAUGGGAAGGUUGAGCUGUUGUUUAUCUGUUCCUAGAAAUGCUAGAAUUCUUGAGAAUUUUAUCUUUGAAAAUCUUUAAAAUGUUGCAUGAUGAGUUCCUGUAUGAUGAGAGUUUAAAAUCCUACCACAGCCAUAUAUACAUGCUUAUUAGACUAUGAACCAUAUAUUUACUUUUUACUGCUUAUGAGCAUUGAGUGAGGUCAAGCUGUGUAGACCCUUAGGAGCUUGUCAUGUGGUUAAAAUCAAGAUUCACUUGCACGUUCACUCACAUGCUGCUUCUACUCCGGAAGUACGCAUCCACAUAUAUCCACCCAUUUCCAUCUCGAGAACCAUCCAAAAAUAUUCUACUCCUAAUCCGGGAGAGAAUAGCCAAAAACAUUCUCCUAUUUCUAUUUUCCCCUGUGAAAUAAAUGCUCAAGUUAUUUCGGUUACUACCACUUGCUAUAUUAUUCCAAGAGGGUGAGUACUCUAAAAAAAAUAAAAAAAUAAAAAAUAAAAAAUACGAGGAAAUAAAAAGGGGCAAGUGCCCGGAACCUCAAAAGAAAAAAAAGUGAGACGAGACGUAAAAAUGGACAAGUGUCCGACAGUAAAAUUAGGGGUACAAGAUACCCACCUGAGAGGAAAAAAAAAGAAAAUAUAGAGCAUCUCAUUCACCUCAAAUUGUUUCAAAAGAGCAAGAAAGGUAUGUAUCCCAUCAAAAGAGCACAAGUAGAAUUAGACUUUCACUAUUGUUAUCACCAUCAUCACCAUACACCAUUCAUUCGCCACACAUGCACAUCUUGAUUUGAUUUAUUGACUUGUUGUUGUGGAUCCAUGGUUUGACUAUGCAAUAAAUGUCUUGUGAGUAUGUAUACUUUAUCUCCCACCUAUGAGCUCCACAUGAGUAGGAUGAGAGAGAAGGCAAUGCCACUAUGCCUUAUACCACAAAUACCACAUACUUUGAGAGAAGGCAUAUACCUUCACUGCCUUGGUAAGGAUCCAGAAAUACCACAAAAGAGAGACUAGAGAGAGUCAUACAAGGAAUCUCUGAUUUUUAUUUGAAAAUCUGCAAAAACUCUAGAGCUAUAGUUAAUCGAAGAACAAGAGACAAGGCGCUUGACUAGACUGUUCUAUCUUUUAACUACUCAAGACACAAGUGACAGUUGCAAGCCCCAUGGUGGAAGGUAAAAUGAGUAAGUUUAAAUCUUAAAAGUUUACCCUAACCCAGGGAUGAGAUUUUGUUUGGACGCAUGUGUACCUUUAAGGAAUGAAACCACUACAGAAACUCUUGAGUCCAUCUUUGCUCAGGGACGAGCAAAGGUUAAGCUUGGAGGAGCUUGUUGACGGUCCUUAAUGCUCACAUUUAACCAUCAAUUAAUCAUGGAAAAGGAUCCAAAUGCAACCAACACCUAGACUUAGGGUUUUAUCUGACAGAAUUCCAUGAGUUUUGGUGUUUGUCUAUUUCUGUAGGGGGUUAUCAGGAAAUACAGAGGAAAGGCCCACACGUCAGGUUUACAUAGAGAUAUUAACGUGCCGCACAAUUUUCUAUCAUCUAGAAGACUCCAGAAGCCACGGGACCGAAGCGGAGGCCGAGAGGACUCAGGGACAGGGCGCCCGCCCUCCUCUCCUGGGCGCCCGCCCUCAUACAGAGUCCAAUCAGGACUCUCUUUCGGGAUAUUGCUCCACCGACUUAAAGGAUCAAGGAUAACUAUUCAAUCAAUGUCGGUUUGAUCCAACGGCCCAGAUUCACUUGAAGGGACUAUAAAACUAGACCCCCUGGCCCCUGGAGAUCAUACCUCUUCUACAGAAUCAAAGUUAGGGUUUCAAUUCUUCAUCCAAGUAGAGAGGAUCCCUCUAGUUGAUCUAGUUCUAGUUCUAGUUCAUCUAGUUCUAGUUCCUCUAGUUCUAGUUCUAGUUAGUUCUAGUUGUAAUCUAGAAAAUAGGGAGAGAGAAGAGGAGAGCGGAGGAGGAGCCUGAUCUGUCGGAUCUUCCUCAACAUUAUACUUUUGCAGCAUCUGGUUCGUUCUUCAUCGUUCUCCAAGUUCUUCAAUUCAUAAUUCCUGAGUUCUUUGAUUACUUUUAUUUACAUUCAAGUUAUUUAUUGGAUUCCCACUUGCAUCAAGUGCUCUAGUCUUUAUAAAGCUAGAGUAGUAAUUAAUAGAUUAGACGUGGUGUUUAGUCUUGCAAUUACCUGGAAUUGCACCCAAUCCUGCGGAUUAUUGUGGUAGCCCUAGGGUAGUGACAGCCCUAACGGUCGACGUAUUCCACCUCAUUCGGAUCAGUGUUUGUAGGACCGUAGUCAGAGCUUCUUAGCCCCCUUCUCAUCUCUUUCUAUGGUUAGUGGUCUGAUGUCCCGAAAUAGAUAAUCUCGAAGUAAUUCUUGAUUCUUAGAUCAACUAGAGAACUCUUAGGAAACUUCCUCUCUUCCCACCGAAAAUAAUUAUAUAGUUAUCC